UGCUCUCUCUCCCCCUCCCCUAGGUUCUCUACUCUGCGAUGGCCGACGAGAUUAAUCAGUUUCCGGCCUCACCCAAGUUUUUCAUUGAUUGGGUUUCGACUGCUUUGAGCAGUUCAGAGAGUUGAUUGAUGAUACCUGGAUUCCAGACAAUAACGACAGAUUACUAGAAUAAAAUUCCUCAUCAUUAUUGCUGGCAUGGAAGUAUCUUGUAGGACUAUGCAAGUGGUAUGCAAUGCACAGUGAAAUCUUAAUUGAUCCCCUACAUUUUCUUGAUAAUGCUCUAUUCAUGAAUGAUGUGGAUGGUGCCAUGUGAAUAUCUGGUACAAUUGUGGUGUUAUAUGUAGCGACGGUGAGACGAUUACAUCGUUUCUGAUGUGGGAAAAUGAUGUGAUGAUCUAUUGUCAUUUUCCCUGUUCCACCACUGGUACUCUAAGCUUUGUAAUAGACAAGCACAUUCCAGUAGUCCUGUCAACCUUACAAAAGAACUACAGUGUUAUUCUGGUGGGGGGGUUGAUUUUAAUUAGAAUGCCUGUUCUUGCUUUGCUUUC